UACGUAGGGUGCGAGCGUUAAUCGGAAUUACUGGGCGUAAAGGGUGCGCAGGCGGCUAUAUAAGUUAGAUGUGAAAUCCCUAAGCUUAACUUAGGAAUGGCAUUUGAUACUGUAUAGCUAGAGUUUAUCAGAGGGAGGUAGAAUUCCAAGUGUAGCAGUGAAAUGCGUAGAUAUUUUGGAGGAAUACCGGUGGCGAAGGCGGCCUCUGGGAUAAAAACUGACGCUCAGGCACGAAAAGCGUGGGGGAGCAAACAGG
rnacentral:rRNA from 1 species